GAUGAAGAACGCAGCGAAAUGCGAUACUUGGUGUGAAUUGCAGAAUCCCGUGAACCAUCGAGUCUUUGAACGCAAGUUGCGCCCGAAGCCUCGGCUAAGGGCACGUCUGCCUGCGCGUCACGCAUCGCGUCUCCCCCAAACCGCCAAGGCGGAGGGGAAGGAAGAUGGCUUCCCGUGCCUCACCCGGCGCGGUUGGCCUAAAUUUGGAGCCCGCGGCACUUAGCUCUCGCGGCGAUAGGUGGUGAACAAGGCCUUGGCCGUGCAAACAACCCGCUGCGAAGCUCUAUGUCACGUGCGCUCGUCGGACCCUUUGAAGUUGCCUUCGGUGACUUAAAACCUUUGCGACCCCAGGUCAGGCGGGGCUACCCGCUGAAUUUAAGCAUAUCAAUAAGCGGAGGA
rnacentral:misc_RNA from 1 species